rnacentral:lncRNA from 1 species
UUGAAGUGGAAAGGGCCAACAACAUUUGAUUGGUCUGCAAGAGUGCGUCUUGGAGGAGUUCUUUCCGCCAUCUCCUCUGCUCCUCAGAUUGGUGAAGGUGAAAGUAAUCUGUUAGGGGAAGGAAAUAAAUCCCUAGAGGAACGUCUGACUCGCCUUCUUCCCCUUGUCUCGUUCAAGCCUUCAAGAAGAGGUUGUGUACUUUUCUUGCUUCUAGUAUGUCUAGUCUCCUACUGCAUGCACAAGAAACACAAACCCUAGUAGCACUUUUAUAAAAAAAAUAAAAAAAAGUAAAACAAAAAAUAUAUACAAAAUAUUUACAAUCAAGUCAAAGUUAAUCAGUUUACACUACUAAAAAAGUUAAACCACGAGUCCCUGGCAACGACGUCAAAAACUUGUUAAGCCCCUG